GACGAACGCUGGCGGCGUGCCUAAUACAUGCAAGUCGAGCGGGGAUUAGUGACGUUGAUACGCUUCGGUGAGACGGCAUAUAUCCUAGCGGCGGACGGGUGAGUAACGCGUGGGUAAUCUACCUCGUAGUUCGGGAUAACAGGCCGAAAGGCUUGCUAAUACCGGAUGAGUUCAUGCUUAUGCAUAUAGGCAUGAAGAAAGGGCUAGCCCGCUAUGAGAUGAGCCCGCGUCCCAUUAGCUUGUUGGUGGGGUAAUGGCCUACCAAGGCAACGAUGGGUAGCCGGCCUGAGAGGGUGUACGGCCACACUGGGACUGAGACACGGCCCAGACUCCUACGGGGGGCAGCAGUAGGGAAUUUUCGGCAAUGGGCGAAAGCCUGACCGAGCGACGCCGCGUGAGCGAAGAAGGCCUUGGUUGUAAAGCUCUGUCUGGAGGGACGAAGGAAGUGAGGUACCUCCGGAGAAGCCACGGCUAACGACGUGCCAGCAGCCGCGGUAA
rnacentral:rRNA from 1 species